rnacentral:lncRNA from 1 species
AUGCUAGGUGUGCCCUAACGCGGUACGAGGUGGUACCGGUGAAGGGGGAAAACAUCCGGAAAGUAUUCCCAGUGUUUCGCGUUUUCGGACAGGUGAGCCGGAGGGGGCAAGUUGCGUGUUUGCUAUGCUAGGGAUGCGUGGCGGACGAAUUUCUGGAAUUUAAUUAAUUAUUUAAUUUAAUUCGAAAUUUGGAUUUAUGACAUCAGCAUGAUGUCAUGCUGACGUAACCAGUCAACAGGGGUUGACUGGGUCAACUGAUGCGUGGGUCCAGUGGGACCCACCUAUCAUACUCUGUUAGGUUAAAUAGGGUUUAAUUAUCUGCUUAGGCUAAUCUAACCAGGAUUAAUUAGUUUAGUUAAUCACAUUAGUUAUGUUAAUUAAUCAAAGUUAAUUAGGUGAAACUAGUUAAUUAGGCUAAUCUAAUUAGGAUUAAUUAAGUUAAUUAAUUAAUUAAUUAAUUNNNNNNNNNNNNNNNNNNNNNNNNNNNNNNNNNNNNNNNNNNNNNNNNNNNNNNNNNNNNNNNNNNNNNNNNNNNNNNNNNNNNNNNNNNNNNNNNNNNNNNNNNNNNNNNNNNNNNNNNNNNNNNNNNNNNNNNNNNNNNNNNNNNNNNNNNNNNNNNNNNNNNNNNCAUGGCGAGCUAGGCAGGGCGCGAGGAGCAGGGGCAUGGGGUGGGGCGCACCAAGGCGGGCGCUGCCAGGCGGCGGCGCGCAAGCACAGCAAGCAGCCGCAGGAGCAGCGCGCGAGGCUGCAGGCGAGGCUAGGGAGCGGUGCGGGCAGCGGAGAAGCGACGGCAGGAUCGGCCGGGCACGGCCGGCAGCGCGCGACGGCAAUCAGCGUGGCCACGACGGCUGGUACGAGCGGCGAGGCAAGGCUGUGGCCAGAGCGGGGCGUGAGGCACGGGAGAGAGGGGGUGGAGGCCGAGCCUCACCGUAGAUGUAGGGUCAGGGCAGCGGGGCUCGGGGUGGUCGACGGCGACGAUCGGGCGACGAGGAGGCAGGCCGUUGAGGUGGUCCGGCGACGAAGGCCGCUGCAGUGGCGUUCCGUGCGGCGGCGGCGGGUUGAUCCCCCCUAUCCAAUCGGGGGCGCAGAGGAGGGGAGAGGGGGAGGCUUGCGGAGGGAGGCGAGGCGAUGGCAGCAGGGCGGCGAGGGCGCCCUCCGUCGAGGUCCAGCGGUGGGGGCGUCGGGCGUCGAGCGAGGGCGUCGCGGCGAUCUCCCCCUCCGUUCCCGAUCCAAUCGGGGAGAGAGGAGAUAUUUUCGUGGGGGGGAGUGGGGUGUCGGUGGAGAGUGGGGGGGAGUGGGGAAUGGUUUAUGGGUGUGGGGUGGGCCGGUCGGUUGGGCUGGUAGAGGCUAGCUGGGCCUGUUGGCCCAAUUGGCCAAGGGGUCUCCUUUUUUUUCGUUUUUUUGUUUUCUUUUAUUAUUUCUUUCUUUUCUGUUUUAAUUCAACUUAAAAUAUUUAUGCAUUUUAUAAAAAUGUGUUUACUUCACCAUAAUUACCGAUGCAAUAAUAGACAUAGCCCGAACAUUUUAUUUUAAUAUUUGAAAACUUUUGUCGUUUGACUUAUUUAGGAUUUAAAUUUGAAACGGUUUUGAAUUAACCCGAGAUUAAUUACAGUGACAGAGGUGACGUGUCACCAUUAACGUGAGAUCACUGUAGCAUGAUUAUCCGGGCGUUACAAUUCUCCUCCACUACAAGAAAUCUCGUCCCGAGAUUUAGGAGGUAGAAGGAAACAGUGCAGGGUAUUCAUCGCGAAGACGAUCCUCGCGUUCCCAGGUGGCUUCGUCUUCAGAGUGAUUCGACCACUGGACCUUGAGGAACUUGAUCGCCUUCUGACGGGUGCGGCGUUUAGCUUGGUCGAGAAUGCGGACCGGAUGCUCUUUAUAGGAGAGGUCCUGUUGCAAUUCGAGCACUUCAUGGUCCACUACUCGGAUUGGGUCCUUGAAGCAGCGUCGAAGUUGCGACACAUGGAACACAUCGUGAACCUGAGAAAGGUUUGACGGAAGCUCCAGUUGAUAUGCCACUUUUCCACGCCUUUCGAGAAUAGUGAAAGGACCAAUUAUAGCGGGGAGCUAACUUUCCUUUGAUCCCGAAGCGGUGUGCACCCUUCAUUGGUGUAACUCGAAGAUAAGCCUUUUCGCCAGGUUGAUAGACCAUGUCUUGGUGAUGACGGUCAUACUGACUUUUCUGAUGUGACUGAGCAGUCUUGAGAUUCUCGCGAAUAAUGCAAACUUGUUCUUCGGCAUGUUGGAUAAUAUCCGGACCGAAGAGUGGACGUUCCCCAGUUUCUGACCAGUUCAGAGGGGUUCGACACUUUCGUCCAUAUAGCACUUCGAAGGGGGACAUCUUCAGACUAGCUUGAUAGCUAUUAUUAUAAGAGAACUCGGCAUAUGGAAGAGAUUCCUCCCAUUUCUUGUCGAAUGAGAUUACACAAGCUCGAAGCAUGUCUUCGAGAACUUGGUUGACAUGUUCAACUUGCCCUUGUGACUGUGGAUGAAACGUAGUACUGAAAGAUAAGUGAGUCCCCAUAGCUUCUUGGAAACUUGCCCAGAAUCUUGAAGUGAAUAAGCUGCCACGGUCUGAACUGAUAACCAGUGGAAUACCGUGAAGUGAAACAAUUCUGGACAUGUAGAGAGUAGCAAGCUGACUAGCAGUGAUUGUCUCUUUGACCGCCAGAAAAUGGGCAACUUUGGAAAGCCGGUCAAUGACGACAAGAAUAGCAUCAUUACCUUUCUGCGAUUUGGGAAAUCCAGUGACGAAGUCCAUUUCAACAUGGUCCCAUUUCCAUUCAGGAAUAGAGAUAGGUUGCAGAGUUCCGGCAGGCCUUUGAUGCUCUGCUUUGAUUCGGCGACAAACGUCACACUCAGCAACAUAACGAGCAAUGUCCUGCUUCAUAUUAGACCACCAGAAUCUUUGACGAAUAUCCUGGUACAUCUUCGUACUACCAGGAUGGAUGGACAGAGGCGUAUCAUGAGCUUCUUGCAUAACCCUUUUAGUCUUAUCCAGGUUUUUCUUCGAACAUGGUACCACUAGGCGGCCUUUGAAAUAGAAGGCGCCAUCGUCGGUGAUAGUGAAGAAUGAGGGCUUUCCUUCUGCUAGAUGGCGUUUAAUCUUAUGGACUUCAGAGUCAUAACCUUGAAUAGUCUUUAUACCAGCUAUGAGAUCUGGUAUGACAGCCAGGGUAUUUAGAGAACCCUUAGUAACAACAAGAAGAUUCAUCUUGCGGAACUCCGGGGGAGGGGGAGCGAGUGCUCCAGGAGGAACAAUAUGGAGGUUCAGCUUUCUAAAUUCUUCGACAAGCGAGGGCUGAACUUUGUGAACCUGGAGGUGGUUGCAGUAAGACUUGCGGCUCAAGGCAUCAGCCAUUACAUUAGCCUUGCCGGGGGUAUAGGAUAUACCCACGUCAAAGUCUGCAACAGUCUCCAUCCAUCUUUGCUGACGGAGGUUCAGAUCUGGCUGAGUAAACAGAUACUUCAGACUUUGGUGAUCGGUGAAGAUCUCGCAACGAUUACCGAGAAGGUAGUGUCGCCACUGCUUCAGUGCAUGAAUGACAGCAGCAAGCUCGAGGUCGUGAACUGGGUAGUUUUCUAUGUGAGGGCGCAGUUGACGAGAGGCAUAAGCAAUCACUCUGCGCUCCUGCAUUAGGACACAGCCUAAUCCUUGACGGGAAGCGUCGCAGUAAAUGACAAAGUCCUUCUUAGUAUCAGGUGGAGCAAGCACGGGGGCAGAAGUCAACUUGUCUUUGAGCGCCUGGAAACUUUCCUGACACUUGUCUGUCCAGUCAAACUUGACACCCUUAUGCAACAGAUUAGUCAGGGGCCUGGCAAUCUUGGAGAAGUUCUCGAUGAAUCGACGGCAGUAGCUGGCGAGACCGAGGAAACUUCGGACUUGCUUCACAUUCUUCGGAGGAGUCCAAUCGAGAAUAGCCUGAACUCGUUCAGGGUUGACGGCAAUACCAUCCUUGGAGAUGACAUGCCCAAGAUAGGUUACUUCGGGGAGCCAGAAUUCACACUUGGAAUACUUAGCAUACAGCUGAUGCUCCCGAAGCUUUUCCAGCACAAGACGAAGAUGUGCAGCAUGUUCUUCUUCGUUCUUGGAAAAUACAAGGAUAUCUUCCAGAUAAACCACGACAAACUUGUCGAGGUAAUCCAUGAAUAUAUAGUUCAUCAGACGAGAGAAGGUGGCGGGAGCAUUCGUUAAGCCGAAUGACAUGACGGUGUACUCGUAUGAUCCAUACCGAGUCACGAAGGCGGUUUUUGGGAUGUCCUCCUCAUGAACACGGAUCUGGUGGUAACCCAACCUCAAGUCGAGUUUGGAGAACACUGAUGAGCCAGCCAGUUGAUCAUAAAGAUCAUUGAUUCAAGGAAGAGGGUAUUUAUUCUGAAUGGUAGCUUGGUUUAUAGGACGGUAGUCUUGGACUAAUCGGUUUGUCCCAUCCUUCUUCUUAACAAAGAGAGAAGGUGCUCCCCAAGGAGAGCAACUUGGGCGAAUGAAACCUUUGACAAGAGAUUUGUCGAUUUCCUCCUUAAGCUCAAUGAGUUCAUGCGGAGGCAUCUUGUAGGGUCGUUUAGCUAUAGGGGUAGUGUCGGGUUUCAAGUCGAUGAUGAAUUCGACAGCUCUAGCAGGGGGAAUCCCUGGAAGUUCUUCUGGGAAGACAUCUUGGAAUUCACGAAUGACGGGAAUGUUUCCAAUGCCCUCGAGUGGUGCAGCGUUCAACGCAUUCAAGGCAUAAAGACGUGCCUCGGCGUUCUGAACUAGAUGAGCUUGGUAAGCAAUUAUUUCAUCAGUAGGGUGUAGCAGAUGGACGACCUUAGUGGCGCAAACUAUAGAAGCAGUAUGCGCUUUCAACCAAUCCAUUCCCAGAAUGAGGUCGAUGCUAUAGGACUUCAGUACGAUGGGAGAGGCAAGGAAUUCCAGCCCUUCAAUUUCAACAAGAACAUCGUGAAACCAUAGAGGUUUGACACUGGCCCGCAGGAGUGUGUACCACAAUCGCAGUGUUCAUCUCUUCGUAUUUAAUGCCAUGCAUGAAUGCAAACUCAGCUGAUAUGAAUGAAUGCGAUGCUCCCGUAUCAAAUAAAACAGAUGCUGGUACUGAAUUUACGAGGAGUGUACCCAUCACGGUAGCAGGCUGGUCUAGAACUUCAUUGAGAUCAACGUGGUUGGCAUGAACACGACCAUAAGACUUGGCAUUGUUGUUGCGAGACUGGUUGCUUCCACGGCUAGUUGCUGGGAGGGCCAGUUGAUUUUGGUUCUGAUUGCAAUCCCUAGCACGGUGACCUGGUUGACCACACUUGUAGCAGAGACCAUUAUUGGGAGUGGGAACAGGAGCUUGUGGUGGUGGAGCUGGAAGUCUUGGCUGCCUAGUUGAAGGAGCAGGCAGACGAGGUGCAGCAUAGGUCUGCCUUGGGGCAGGUGCAUUUGGCUGGUACAUACUAUUGGGAAUCCAUAUCUUACGCUUCUGCGAAGACGGGCCCGAAGAUGAGCCUGUGUCACGGUUGCGCCUGUGAGAGCUCUGGUAUUCAUGCAGACCAGUUUCGACAUUGAUGGCUUUGUUCACCAGAGUGGCGAAAUCAGCAAAGUCAUGCACUAGAAGUGCGAGCUUGAUGUCAGCUUGAAGGCCAUCACGGAACUUCUCCUGUCUGCGUGCAUCAGUUGCAAUGUCUUCUUCAGCAUAGCGGGACAAGUCAAGAAACUCCCGCUAGUAAGCUUCCACAGUUUUGUUGCCUUGGGUGAGGUUGUGGAACUCACGCUUCUUCCGGUCCAUGACUCCCUGAGGAAUGAAGCGAGCACGGAAGGUAGCUUGGAAGUCUGGCCAGGUGAUGAUUGUUCCAGCUGGCAGAGUACGCCUGUGGCUUUCCCACCAUUGAGCCGCGGGUCCUUUGAGGAAGAAGGAAGCAAAGGUGACAUAGCUGGCAGGGGCUACAUCAGCAGACUCCAUCUCAUAGGUGAUGUCACGGAGCCAGUCGUCAGCAUCCAGAGGCUAAGUUGAGCUGCAGUACACGGUUGGGUUGAGGCGCAUGAAAUCUUGUAGAGUCACUCGGGUUGGCUGCUGGUUCAUAUUGGGGCGAGGAAACUGAGCCAUAAUAUUCUCCAUGAACUGACGAUUCAGCUCAAACUGUUGCAUCAUCCCAGCCAUGUACUCAGGCGGUGGUGGGGCGUUGCCACCACGACCACGAUCACCUGGUCUAACCAUCCUGAUAAUAUUUAACAGGGGUAGUUCAGCAUUGAGAAAUUUGCAAAAACAAGAAUCAUUCAUGAUGAAACAUGCACAACGAAAGCAGCACGAUAGAUACUACAUAGUAGUCAGCAUAUCUUACAGAAGAGAUCAUGCAUAGAGUUCGUUACACAGUGUUCAGUACAUAGGCUAAGACAUCAUAGGCGGCACACAGGCUCGCGGUGAAUGCAUCUAACACUAAUAAGCAAGUCUACGUCAGUCCCAUGCGGUACUGCGGAGGUAGGUGUAGCCCGACAGCUGGUAGUGACGCGAAGGGAAGAACUCCACGCGAGUAGCCUGGGGUCCGCGGAUACUCUGGUGCGGAACCCGAUGCGUAGGUGGCAGGAGAGGGCCCAAUGCAGGAGAGUAGCCUCCCACAUCUGGCCAGCCGACGCCCUGGGGCAUCACGGUCCGGGCAGGGUAGAUCGCAGAACGCGACAGAUCACCAGAGCGGAUAGAGGGGUGCAACAGCGUCAGAGCACGAUACAGGUGCUGACGGGUGGUGUACAACUCGUGGCGAAGAGUUCGGUUAGCUCUAUCCAGCCCAUCAGCAUGCAGAACCAGGUUCUGAUGGUAGAAGGGCUCUCGGGUGACAGUGGAGUAGGCAGCAGUGUAGUAUCCCUCCGCACCAACAUUGGAUGCGAUAGCAAUGUGCCUGAAGGGGGAGUUAUCCAACUCCUGAUACUCUCCACGAAGACGUGUCAGAGCAGCAUAAGCAGCAUCGUGGACCGCCAUAUCGAUAGUCACUCCAACACCAUGAGCAGUGUGCAGCACGGUAGUGGAGUCAUACUCCCGAGAGUAGAGGUGGAUGAUGGCACGGUACUGCUCCUAGUUGAAGUCCUGAUACUCCUCAUAGACGGUGUACUCAGGGUGCCAGCGAUAACCCAGAUAGGUCAUCAUCUCAACCAACACAGUAGGUGAUCCUGAGGCACCAAUGGCCGUCGUGUGGCGCACGACCUGCCUCGUGGGUUCCAUCUGAAAACAAAGAUGUUUUCACAGGAGUCAAAUGACAAUGUGGAUAAUGUCCAGAUACUACUCUAAAGAAUAACUAGGGCUUAUCCAACUUUGGGGUGAACGUGGUCACGGGAUCCUAGUGUUAGAGUUAGUAAAAUCGUUUAACCCGAGUAGGAGAGAGUUCAGUGUCCCAGAGUAAGGAUCGAGGAGUAAAAGAGCCUAAUACCACCCAGAUGGCGAUGUGGGCCCAUAAGGCACACAGCCAUGUUAGUAAAAGUUUUUGUAAUGUCUAGACUCAACUUCGGCCAAGGAGUGUGGAAGGGGAAUUCCUACAGGCAGUCGGCUCUGAUACCAACUUGUGACGCCCCGAUUUAAUCGUACACUAAUCAUACACGCAAACGUGUACGAUCAAGAUCAGGGACUCACGGGAAGAUAUCACAACACAACUCUACAAAUAAAAAUAAGUCAUACAAGCAUCAUAUUACAAGCCAAGGGCCUCGAGGGCUCGAAUACAAGAGCUCGAUCAUAGACGAGUCAGCGGAAGCAACAAUAUCUGAGCACAG